rnacentral:tRNA from 1 species
GCCCGGCUAGCUCAAUUGGCAGAGCGUGUGACUUUGUGAGCCUUCCCUUUCACUCCUCAUUUCAGAUCAAUUCACUAACAUAUUCCCAGUAUUGGUAUAUACUAUCACUUGAAAUCACAAGGUUGGGGGUUCGACCCCCCCGUCGGGCA